ACAACAAGGGCGGCGCCAUUUCACUCAUUUUGUCAACGUUCUUCCGGCCGCAGAGACGAUGAGCAGCUGAGGCAGUGAUUGAAGGCGACGUGUUAAGCUUAAAAAGCUCACUCGAGCGCCUUUAUGUUUCUUUCUUACCAAUUUUAAGCCAACUGAGGAACACCCUUAUCCCAAGUAAUGGUUCGACUACGAUGUUCCGGUAACUUUAAACCACGCCUGGUGUUGAAAAGGUGGCCAGUUUCAGAUGCAUUGAUGUUUAGUGAUGCAGUGGACAACUGUGAGGAUGAUACAAUCAACAUGUUCCUAAACUGUGAUGCAGAAACACAAUGGGAGCAUCUAUCCGUCUCUGACCACAACUACACUUUAAAAUCACAACUCAACCUGAAGCAACCUACAUCUGAUAUGGGAAAACAAUGGUGCGGUUUCCCUGACAGGGCUUAUCCUGGUCCCAGGCUAAAAUGCAUAUUUGAGCUACAAUAAUUUAAAAACACCUUUUACUGACAUACCUCAACAUAUAUUAGUGCCAUUGUUUUGUCACAAGAUGCGCACCAGUCUUGUUUUUUUGUAGGAUUUGUUUGUAAAAACUAAAAUGUCCUAAUAUAAUUAAGGCCUAGUCCUGUAAACCCUGUCCGAGAAACUGCUUCAAUGCUUCUGCUUCAUGUGUUGAGCUGGCACAAAUGUACAUAUCUCUGCUGAGAAACAACCAUCUUUGUCAGCUUUACACAGGGUUGAUAUUGCAUGCAUUACACCAUCGCCAAGCACUUUACCAGUACAUACACCAACAGCUUCCAGAUAUACGCUUGGGAUCAGCUCCUGAUGACUCCGAUAAAGCUGUGUCUUAAUUUAUUGCAGGGUGGUCUUGCUUUACCGGUUGUAAAGUUACAUUAAACCUUCAUAUGUGAUCAGAUGUCAUGCAGUGAUAUUAAACAUUUACAGUGUGAUCAGAUGUUGUGCAUUUAUAUUAAACAUUUACAGUGUGAUCAGAUGUUGUGCAUUUAUAUUAAACCUUUACAAUGUGAUCAGAUGUUGUGCAUUUAUAUUAAAUCUUUACAAUGUGA